UGGGGAAUAUUGCACAAUGGGCGCAAGCCUGAUGCAGCCAUGCCGCGUGUGUGAAGAAGGCCUUCGGGUUGUAAAGCACUUUCAGCGAGGAGGAAGGUGGUGAGCUUAAUACGCUCAUCAAUUGACGUUACUCGCAGAAGAAGCACCGGCUAACUCCGUGCCAGCAGCCGCGGUAAUACGGAGGGUGCAAGCGUUAAUCGGAAUUACUGGGCGUAAAGCGCACGCAGGCGGUUUGUUAAGUCAGAUGUGAAAUCCCCGGGCUCAACCUGGGAACUGCAUUUGAAACUGGCAAGCUAGAGUCUCGUAGAGGGGGGUAGAAUUCCAGGUGUAGCGGUGAAAUGCGUAGAGAUCUGGAGGAAUACCGGUGGCGAAGGCGGCCCCCUGGACGAAGACUGACGCUCAGGUGCGAAAGCGUGGGGCAGCAAACAGGAUUAGAUACCCUGGUAGUCCAGCGCUGUAAACGAUGUCGAUUUGGAGGUUGUGCCCUUGAGGCGUGGCUUCCGGAGCUACGCG
rnacentral:rRNA from 1 species